rnacentral:rRNA from 1 species
UUGACCUCGAAUCAGGUAGGACUACCCGCUGAACUUAAGCAUAUCAAUAAGCGGAGGAAAAGAAACCAACAGGGAU